CCCUUAGAUGUUCGGGGCCGCACGCGCGCUACACUGAAGGAAUCAGCACGUCUUUCUCCUUGUCCGAAAGGAUUGGGUAACCCGCUGAACCUCCUUCGUGCUAGGGAUUGGGGCUUGUAAUUCUUCCCCAUGAACGAGGAAUUCCCAGUAAGCGCGAGUCAUAAGCUCGCGUUGAUUACGUCCCUGCCCUUUGUACACACCGCCCGUCGCUACUACCGAUUGGAUGGUUUAGUGAGAUCCUCGGAUUGGUCCCGGAGCGGCCUCUGGUCGUGCCGGAGUGCCGAAAAGAAUGUCGAACUUGAUCAUCUAGAGGAAGUAAAAGUCGUAACA
rnacentral:rRNA from 1 species